GCCUAGCCCUGAUGGGAACGGCAUCCUUGUAUGGCGGGGUUCGCCAUACAAGAUAUAGUGGACAGCAGGAUUAGCU
rnacentral:sRNA from 2 species